UAUUUUAUUAACGAUGGCUGGCUUCAACUGUAUAUACGAAUAGGUAAGAUGGCUCCCUCUUGUGGACAUAAAACGCACCUGCAACAGGCGGCUGUCCGCGCACCUGUCAUCAAUCACCAUUAAAGCACAGGAAAACACAGCUCUCGGCUACGUUUAGGCACAAUUCGGUUUUAAUACGAUUGAGGCAAUAAUCCGGCUAUGGAAGGUUUGAUGUAAACGCCUGUUUGUUACCUUAAUCGGAUAUGGGGGUAAGGAUCAAGUACAGUUAAACCAGCAUGAUUAAGUCUGAGGUACUGUGGUUUUAAUCGAUGUUUAAAGAUGGUAGGGAAACACUCAGGAGCUGAGGGGAGUGCUUCGGAGGCAUCGGUGCUGGGCUUCACAUGUCCCGAUUCAGAAUGCUGCUCCCCGACUCGCCUUCAACCUUCCCAAGUUAUCCCAAGUCACUCCUCUGCUGAGUUCACUCCACUGGCUACCGGUCGCUGCCAGGACCAGGUUCAAAGUCCAGAUCCUCGCCUACCCUGCAGCCAACAGGACGGCCCCCGGCUACUUACAGGACAUGAUUCAAUCCUACACGCCAGCUCGACCACUCCGCUCUGUGGAAACAGCGCCACUUGCACCCCUGCCAUUCGGAUGAAUCUGGGAUAAUUUUUUCACUUAAAUUCCCCUCUUUUAUGCUACACAUGUACCUCCUGUGCCAAUUUCAUGUUACCUGUACCGCCAUCCAGCACUUAUACUGUACUUUGUAUCAUUAUCUUGAUGUUGUAGCUUGUCAUGCCUCCUAGUUUUACUUAGCAGAGGUUAGGUCAGAGUAAUGUUUAAUGUGUGAACUGGACUUAAUGUGUUCAUGGCUAUGAAUAACUGUUACAAAAUGAGUAUUGUGCCUUAUUGGAUCUGUGUUUUGUAGUUGUUCCAAUGACCUUCUUUAUGCACUUAUUGUACGUCACUUUGGAUAAAAACGUCUGCCGAAUAAUGCAAUGUAAUGUCAGGAGUUUGCCUCCCUCUGCUGGACAGAAAAUGGUAUUACAGCAGAGGAAAUCCGAUUUAAAAAAUGUUGCAAUGUACAAGUCGAUUUUUUGUAUGGUUAUUAAAUGUAUGUGGAUUUUAAUGCUGCACACAAGUUGCCCUCUGGGGAUAAUAAAGAUCUACUGAAACCAAAA